AUGCUGGCACAGAGAUGGCACUGCACACCUGCAGGCUUUCCAGUGCUAAGCCUAGCACCGCCUGCCUGUGUGCCCUCCCAUGCCGCUCCCACCGCAGCAAGCUGGGCCCACCCCUGUUUCCUCACUGCCAGCUUCAGUGGGCCAGCAAGGGCGUGGCUGACAACAGCUUUGAUUGUUGAACACACUGCCCAGAGUGGCAAUUGCUGCAGAGGACCCCAUCCAUCUGAAAGACAUCACCAACCAAACUCCGGCCCUGGGGUCAAGGCAAGGAUGAUGUGUGGCCUACGCUUGGCCACUGCAAUGCUUUCUUCUGGAACACACCAGGUGGAAGAAACAGCUGAAGGUUUUUCAUCCUGUUAGUGGGUUUCUCUGAUUUGAAGGAAGAAGAGAUUAUGAAAAGAAGAGAACAAGAAGAGAAUGCUGAGUGGGCUGUGGAAUCUGGGUGAAAAAGGAUAUGACAAAGAG
rnacentral:lncRNA from 1 species